AGUGCGCGGUGGCGGCGGCGUCGCGGGCAGCUGGCGCCGCGCGGUCCUGCUCUGCCGGUCGCACGGACGCACCGGCGGGCCGCCGGCCGGAGGGACGGGGCGGGAGCUGGGCCCGCGGACAGCGAGCCGGAGCGGGAGCCGCGCGUAGCGAGCCGGGCUCCGGCGCUCGCCAGUCUCCCGAGCGGCGCCCGCCUCCCGCCGGUGCCCGCGCCGGGCCGUGGGGGGCAGCAUGCCCGCGCGCGCUGCCUGAGGACGCCGCGGCCCCCGCCCCCGCCAUGGGCGCCCCUGCCUGCGCCCUCGCGCUCUGCGUGGCCGUGGCCAUCGUGGCCGGCGCCUCCUCGGAGUCCUUGGGGACGGAGCAGCGCGUCGUGGGGCGAGCGGCAGAAGUCCCGGGCCCAGAGCCCGGCCAGCAGGAGCAGUUGGUCUUCGGCAGCGGGGAUGCUGUGGAGCUGAGCUGUCCCCCGCCCGGGGGUGGUCCCAUGGGGCCCACUGUCUGGGUCAAGGAUGGCACAGGGCUGGUGCCCUCGGAGCGUGUCCUGGUGGGGCCCCAGCGGCUGCAGGUGCUGAAUGCCUCCCACGAGGACUCCGGGGCCUACAGCUGCCGGCAGCGGCUCACGCAGCGCGUACUGUGCCACUUCAGUGUGCGGGUGACAGACGCUCCAUCCUCGGGAGAUGACGAAGACGGGGAGGACGAGGCUGAGGACACAGGUGUGGACACAGGGGCCCCUUACUGGACACGGCCCGAGCGGAUGGACAAGAAGCUGCUGGCCGUGCCGGCCGCCAACACCGUCCGCUUCCGCUGCCCAGCCGCUGGCAACCCCACUCCCUCCAUCUCCUGGCUGAAGAACGGCAGGGAGUUCCGCGGCGAGCACCGCAUUGGAGGCAUCAAGCUGCGGCAUCAGCAGUGGAGCCUGGUCAUGGAAAGCGUGGUGCCCUCGGACCGCGGCAACUACACCUGCGUCGUGGAGAACAAGUUUGGCAGCAUCCGGCAGACGUACACGCUGGACGUGCUGGAGCGCUCCCCGCACCGGCCCAUCCUGCAGGCGGGGCUGCCGGCCAACCAGACGGCGGUGCUGGGCAGCGACGUGGAGUUCCACUGCAAGGUGUACAGUGACGCACAGCCCCACAUCCAGUGGCUCAAGCACGUGGAGGUGAAUGGCAGCAAGGUGGGCCCGGACGGCACACCCUACGUUACCGUGCUCAAGUCCUGGAUCAGUGAGAGUGUGGAGGCCGACGUGCGCCUCCGCCUGGCCAAUGUGUCGGAGCGGGACGGGGGCGAGUACCUCUGUCGAGCCACCAAUUUCAUAGGCGUGGCCGAGAAGGCCUUUUGGCUGAGCGUUCACGGGCCCCGAGCAGACGGCGGGCGCUAACACCACCGACAAGGAGCUAGAGGUUCUCUCCUUGCACAACGUCACCUUUGAGGACGCCGGGGAGUACACCUGCCUGGCGGGCAAUUCUAUUGGGUUUUCUCAUCACUCUGCGUGGCUGGUGGUGCUGCCAGCCGAGGAGGAGCUGGUGGAGGCUGACGAGGCGGGCAGUGUGUAUGCAGGCAUCCUCAGCUACGGGGUGGGCUUCUUCCUGUUCAUCCUGGUGGUGGCGGCUGUGACGCUCUGCCGCCUGCGCAGCCCCCCCAAGAAAGGCCUGGGCUCCCCCACCGUGCACAAGAUCUCCCGCUUCCCGCUCAAGCGACAGGUGUCCCUGGAGUCCAACGCGUCCAUGAGCUCCAACACACCACUGGUGCGCAUCGCAAGGCUGUCCUCAGGGGAGGGCCCCACGCUGGCCAAUGUCUCCGAGCUCGAGCUGCCUGCCGACCCCAAAUGGGAGCUGUCUCGGGCCCGGCUGACCCUGGGCAAGCCCCUUGGGGAGGGCUGCUUCGGCCAGGUGGUCAUGGCGGAGGCCAUCGGCAUUGACAAGGACCGGGCCGCCAAGCCUGUCACCGUAGCCGUGAAGAUGCUGAAAGACGAUGCCACUGACAAGGACCUGUCGGACCUGGUGUCUGAGAUGGAGAUGAUGAAGAUGAUCGGGAAACACAAAAACAUCAUCAACCUGCUGGGCGCCUGCACGCAGGGCGGGCCCCUGUACGUGCUGGUGGAGUACGCGGCCAAGGGUAACCUGCGGGAGUUUCUGCGGGCGCGGCGGCCCCCGGGCCUGGACUACUCCUUCGACACCUGCAAGCCGCCCGAGGAGCAGCUCACCUUCAAGGACCUGGUGUCCUGUGCCUACCAGGUGGCCCGGGGCAUGGAGUACUUGGCCUCCCAGAAGUGCAUCCACAGGGACCUGGCUGCCCGCAAUGUGCUGGUGACCGAGGACAACGUGAUGAAGAUCGCAGACUUCGGGCUGGCCCGGGACGUGCACAACCUCGACUACUACAAGAAGACGACCAACGGCCGGCUGCCCGUGAAGUGGAUGGCGCCUGAGGCCUUGUUUGACCGAGUCUACACUCACCAGAGUGACGUCUGGUCCUUUGGGGUCCUGCUCUGGGAGAUCUUCACGCUGGGGGGCUCCCCGUACCCCGGCAUCCCUGUGGAGGAGCUCUUCAAGCUGCUGAAGGAGGGCCACCGCAUGGACAAGCCCGCCAACUGCACACACGACCUGUACAUGAUCAUGCGGGAGUGCUGGCAUGCCGCGCCCUCCCAGAGGCCCACCUUCAAGCAGCUGGUGGAGGACCUGGACCGUGUCCUUACCGUGACGUCCACCGACGAGUACCUGGACCUGUCGGCGCCUUUCGAGCAGUACUCCCCGGGUGGCCAGGACACCCCCAGCUCCAGCUCCUCAGGGGACGACUCCGUGUUUGCCCACGACCUGCUGCCCCCGGCCCCACCCAGCAGUGGGGGCUCGCGGACGUGAAGGGCCACUGGUCCCCAACAAUGUGAGGGGUCCCUAGCAGCCCACCCUGCUGCUGGUGCACAGCCACUCCCCGGCAUGAGACUCAGUGCAGAUGGAGAGACAGCUACACAGAGCUUUGGUCUGUGUGUGUGUGUGUGCGUGUGUGUGUGUGUGUGUGCACAUCCGCGUGUGCCUGUGUGCGUGCGCAUCUUGCCUCCAGGUGCAGAGGUACCCUGGGUGUCCCCGCUGCUGUGCAACGGUCUCCUGACUGGUGCUGCAGCACCGAGGGGCCUUUGUUCUGGGGGGACCCAGUGCAGAAUGUAAGUGGGCCCACCCGGUGGGACCCCCGUGGGGCAGGGAGCUGGGCCCGACAUGGCUCCGGCCUCUGCCUUUGCACCACGGGACAUCACAGGGUGGGCCUCGGCCCCUCCCACACCCAAAGCUGAGCCUGCAGGGAAGCCCCACAUGUCCAGCACCUUGUGCCUGGGGUGUUAGUGGCACCGCCUCCCCACCUCCAGGCUUUCCCACUUCCCACCCUGCCCCUCAGAGACUGAAAUUACGGGUACCUGAAGAUGGGAGCCUUUACCUUUUAUGCAAAAGGUUUAUUCCGGAAACUAGUGUACAUUUCUAUAAAUAGAUGCUGUGUAUAUGGUAUAUAUACAUAUAUAUAUAUAACAUAUAUGGAAGAGGAAAAGGCUGGUACAACGGAGGCCUGCGACCCUGGGGGCACAGGAGGCAGGCAUGGCCCUGGGCGGGGCGUGGGGGGGCGUGGAGGGAGGCCCCAGGGGGUCUCACCCAUGCAAGCAGAGGACCAGGGCCUUUUCUGGCACCGCAGUUUUGUUUUAAAACUGGACCUGUAUAUUUGUAAAGCUAUUUAUGGGCCCCUGGCACUCUUGUUCCCACACCCCAACACUUCCAGCAUUUAGCUGGCCACAUGGCGGAGAGUUUUAAUUUUUAACUUAUUGACAACCGAGAAGGUUUAUCCCGCCGAUAGAGGGACGGCCAAGAAUGUACGUCCAGCCUGCCCCGGAGCUGGAGGAUCCCCUCCAAGCCUAAAAGGUUGUUAAUAGUUGGAGGUGAUUCCAGUGAAGAUAUUUUAUUUCCUUUGUCCUUUUUCAGGAGAAUUAGAUUUCUAUAGGAUUUUUCUUUAGGAGAUUUAUUUUUUGGACUUCAAAGCAAGCUGGUAUUUUCAUACAAAUUCUUCUAAUUGCUGUGUGUCCCAGGCAGGGAGACGGUUUCCAGGGAGGGGCCGGCCCUGUGUGCAGGUUCCGAUGUUAUUAGAUGUUACAAGUUUAUAUAUAUCUAUAUAUAUAAUUUAUUGAGUUUUUACAAGAUGUAUUUGUUGUAGACUUAACACUUCUUACGCAAUGCUUCUAGAGUUUUAUAGCCUGGACUGCUACCUUUCAAAGCUUGGAGGGAAGCCGUGAAUUCAGUUGGUUCGUUCUGUACUGUUACUGGGCCCUGAGUCUGGGCAGCUGUCCCUUGCUUGCCUGCAGGGCCAUGGCUCAGGGUGGUCUCUUCUUGGGGCCCAGUGCAUGGUGGCCAGAGGUGUCACCCAAACCGGCAGGUGCGAUUUUGUUAACCCAGCGACGAACUUUCCGAAAAAUAAAGACACCUGGUUGCUAA